rnacentral:rRNA from 1 species
CCCUUAGAUGAUUUAGGCUGCACGCGCGCUACACUGACCCUAACAAUGAGCAACUGUCUGGCCUGAGAUGGCUGGGUAGCCUUUUCAACCCAUGUCAUGAUUGGGCUAGAUUUUUGUAAGUCUUGAUCUCUAACGAGGAAUCCCUAGUAUGCGUGAAUCAUCAAUCCAUGCAGAUUAUGUCCCUGCCCUUUGUACACACCGCCCGUCGCUCCUACUGAUUGGGUGAUCCGGUGAGCUGUUCGGCCAUAGCAAUGUUUCUUGAGCAGGGCAAUGAAUGUUUCGCAAACCUUGCCACUUAGAGGAAGGAGAAGUCGUAACA